UACGAAGGGGGCUAGCGUUGCUCGGAAUUACUGGGCGUAAAGCGCACGUAGGCGGCUUUCUAAGUCGGGGGUGAAAUCCUGGAGCUCAACUCCAGAACUGCCUUCGAUACUGGAAAGCUCGAGUCCGGGAGAGGUGAGUGGAACUGCGAGUGUAGAGGUGAAAUUCGUAGAUAUUCGCAAGAACACCAGUGGCGAAGGCGGCUCACUGGCCCGGUACUGACGCUGAGGUGCGAAAGCCAGGGGAGCGAACGGG
rnacentral:rRNA from 1 species